rnacentral:rRNA from 1 species
AGAGUUUGAUCCUGGCUCAGGAUGAUCGCUGGCGGCGUGCCUAACACAUGCAAGUCGAACGGUUAAACCGCCCUCGGGCGGACAUACAGUGGCGAACGGGUGAGUAACACGUGACCAACCUGCCCCGCGCUCCGGGACAACCGCUGGAAACGGCGGCUAAUACCGGAUACUCCGCGGCCCCCGCAUGGGGGCGGCGGGAAAGCCCCGACGGCGCGGGAUGGGGUCGCGGCCCAUUAGGUAGUAGGCGGGGUAGAGGCCCACCUAGCCGACGAUGGGUAGCCGGACUGAGAGGUCGAUCGGCCACAUUGGGACUGAGAUACGGCCCAGACUCCUACGGGAGGCAGCAGUGGGGAAUUUUGCGCAAUGGGGGAAACCCUGACGCAGCAACGCCGCGUGCGGGACGAAGGCCCUCGGGUCGUAAACCGCUUUCAGCAGGGAAGACCACGACGGUACCUGCAGAAGAAGCUCCGGCUAACUACGUGCCAGCAGCCGCGGUAAUACGUAGGGGGCGAGCGUUAUCCGGAUUCAUUGGGCGUAAAGCGCGCGUAGGCGGCCGCCUAAGCGGAACCUCUAACCCCGGGGCUCAACCUCGGGCCGGGUUCCGGACUGGGCGGCUCGAGUGCGGUAGAGGAGAGCGGAAUUCCCGGUGUAGCGGUGGAAUGCGCAGAUAUCGGGAAGAACACCGAUGGCGAAGGCAGCUCUCUGGGCCGUCACUGACGCUGAGGCGCGAAAGCUGGGGGAGCGAACAGGAUUAGAUACCCUGGUAGUCCCAGCCGUAAACGAUGGAUACUAGGUGUGGGGGGAUCCCCCCUCCGUGCCGCAGCCAACGCAUUAAGUAUCCCGCCUGGGGAGUACGGCCGCAAGGCUAAAACUCAAAGGAAUUGACGGGGGCCCGCACAAGCAGCGGAGCACGUGGCUUAAUUCGAAGCAACGCGAAGAACCUUACCAGGGCUUGACAUGCGCCUGAAGCCGCGGAGACGCGGUGGCCGAGAGGAGGGCGCGCAGGUGGUGCAUGGCUGUCGUCAGCUCGUGUCGUGAGAUGUUGGGUUAAGUCCCGCAACGAGCGCAACCCCCGUCCCGUGUUGCCAGCAUUAGGUUGGGGACUCGCGGGAGACUGCCGGCGUCAAGCCGGAGGAAGGUGGGGACGACGUCAAGUCAUCAUGCCCCUUAGGCCCUGGGCUGCACACGUGCUACAAUGGCCGGUACAGAGGGUUGCCACCCCGCGAGGGGGAGCGGAUCCCGGAAAGCCGGCCCCAGUUCGGAUCGCAGGCUGCAACCCGCCUGCGUGAAGCCGGAGUUGCUAGUAAUCGCGGAUCAGCACGCCGCGGUGAAUACGUUCCCGGGCCUUGCACUCACCGCCCGUCA